CCCCACCGCCCCAGCCAAGACUCCAUCUCUCCUGCACUCUAUCACCCUUGGGUCUGAGCCACACAUGGGUUUCCCCAUGAUUUUUCACUACAAAUUAAGCAUCUUACGCAUUUGACCUCAUGGGAGCUCCUGCAGGGAGCUUCCUCACUCCCCUUUCUCAGAUGUAGAAACUGUUGCUUCCAUUAGUGCCAUCAUUUGCCAAGCUUCCUGGGAAAAGGAACAGGCCUUCUAUCUCCGAUGCCAGCUGGGGACUCCUCCCACUUGCUGGUUGAGGCUGGCCUUGUGGGAGUAGGUCUGUCCCUUGGGGGCCUGCAAGCCUGAGAGCUGAAUGAAUCUGGGGAUCCGAGGACAUCAACCUCACAGCUCUUUUGCCUCCUAGGCCUGUCCUGUCCCGAAGCUGAGGACUCCAUGAGGUUCUUAGAUGCCUUGAGUUCUUGUGGCCUUUCUUCAUGGGGUGUGACUCCAGUUCUAGACUCUCAGUUUACAAAUGAGGAAACCCAGUCUUAGACAUUAUGGCUGAGUUGCUGAUGUCACAAUCCACGACAGACUCGCUGUCCUCUUGCCUUUCCAGUCAUGGUGCUUACAGUAACUGUGGUUUCCCCCAGACCACCCAGGAAUCUGGUGACUCAGGCUCCAAAGAAGACACUUUCUAAACAAGGCCAGGUCUCUGGAGAAUGUGGUGGGAGCCGGGUCCCGCUAGGCCUGGGAAGAGAAGUAGGUGGAAUUUAUUGCUCCCAAACUCAAGUUCAGGUGUGUGUGUGUGUGGUGUAUUACCUUCGAGUGACUAGGUUUUUGGAGAAGGGUUAGUACCUCCAUUGCCUCCCCACCUAUUCCACAGCUCACUCCCACCUCAAGGCCCCCCAACCCCCGUCUCUGGGGUAUUCCCCAUAGGAGUGAGAGAAGCAGUAGGGAGAAACUGGAGAUCUGUGUUCAUGCCUUAGUGAGAAAACCUGAGGCUGGGAGAGGUGUGUGAGAGGCCUAAAGUCACACUGCAAUUUGGGGGCAGAGCUGAAAACUCAGGUCUCAGAAUUCUGGGUCUUGCUUUUUCCUUAGUCUAGGCAUAGAAUCCAUCAGUGCUCCACUGGCACACACACUGUUCACCUCUGGAGACUCCUGGUGCACCACACCUCCAUGGCCUUCCCCUGCCUGUUCCUCCAACUGCCUCCCUGCUGUCCUGGAAGCUCCCUUCCCCCACACACAUUGCAGGGGGCUGGGGAGCUUUAAAGCUGCAGCUGUCUUGUUAUAAUCCUUUCUCUGCCACUUACCAGCUAUAUGAUCUGAGGCAAGUUGUUUAACUUCUCUGUGCCUCAGUUUCCUCAUCUGAGUAAUAAUAAUAGUCCCUAUCUCCGAAAGUUAAUGGGACACGUAAAUGAAUGAAUCUAUGUUAGGCAUUCAGAACCAUACUUUCAGUAUGUAUUAAGAACAUAGCAGGUGCUCGCUAGUAUUCUUUUGGGGUCUGUGAGCCAGUUAUGGGAGGUAAGGAAGCACGAGGACUCAAAUCCAGAUCCCUUUAAUUUGUUGACUUUGGGCAAAUACCUGACCUGUGUGAACCUCAGAUUCCUUAGAGAGAAAGUAGUUAUGACCCCCCAGGGGGUUAUAGUCUGGGCCACCAGAGCCUCUCAUGGGCAGCUGCUGUGGCUUCUCCAUGGGGCCCCCUACCCCUUCCAACCCACUCUCUACCCAAAAUGAUGGUCUGCGCCCAAAUCUGACGUCUCACCUCCUCCUUGUGAUGUGAGAUCUUCAAUGACUCCUGGUGCCCUCAGAAUAAAGAACCUCUUACUAGGUCCUGACAGAAUCUGGUCCUGUCCCAUUUCUACCUGGCCAACCCCCUCAAAACCCACGCUUCAGAUCUUUCUCUUUCUCUCUCUUCUUUGCCCAAGCCGCUCCCUCCUCCUGACCACAUCCAGCUGCCCAGUCCAAGCUCUAAGCACACGGCUGCCCCCUCUGUCCUCCAGGGAAUCUCCUGGAAACCAGAGAUGUCUCAUGUCCCAUUUGUCCCCCUGGCGCUGGGCCAACCCAGCGCCAGGCAGAGGAUGGGCUCCCUGGAUGUCUGUGGAAUGAAAGGGUCACAGAGGUAAUGGAUGUGGGUGUGUUUUAUAAACUCUAAAUGACCAAGCAGGCAUCCAGAGGGGGGUAUGUUUAUUAGUAUCUUGUGUCUCCAUGGCAACCCCCAGCUGGCUUUUUCUAACAGGCUUCUAAGAACCCCAGCCUUCCCCUGUCCUCAGAUCCUGGGCUCUGGGGGCUCAUGUCCUGCAACCUUAUUCUAUCCCCUCAGGAGGUUGGGGGCGAGAAUUCCUGGCUUGAGGAGGUGUCCUUUCAAUGAUUUAGAAGAUAGACUUGGAGAAUGUCCCAGCUGGGAAGGCAUUUAGUCUUGAUCUAGUUCCAUAAGGAUCAAGAACUGAGGCCUAGAGGACGGGACCCUAGGCAGGGUCACAGCAAGGCAGGGGCAGAUGGGAGCCAACCCAGGGACUUGGGGCUCUUGCCAGAGCGGCCUUGCAGAAAAGCUGCCAAGGCUUCUGUGAAGCCAGCAUCUGCUUGAGCAAUGCAGCUGAAAGGCGAAUGAAAACAAGUUUUAAAAGACUUAACCCUGGGAUUUUGAAACCUUACAAAAGAAGACAUGUGUCUCCAUGGCCUGCUUGGUGGAGGGUGCUGGGACGGCAGUGACCCAGGGCAAUGGGCUGAUGGCUUUGCAAUUCUGCAGACCGUUUUCAAAGCAGGUCCUAGAGAAGCUCAUGGAAUACAGAUGAGGCUCAGAGAAGGGAUAGCUGAUCGCCAACAACCAUAGAAGACAAUGCUGGUGUCCCCCUCUUUGCCAGGAAAAUUCUCAACAGUGGCUGAUCGUCAAGGUGUUUGAUGCCCUACUCUGUUCCCUGCAACCACAGGUAUGGUCUUGUUGAGUCAAAAUUUCCCACUCUAGCUCCCUCAUCUGCUCUCGGUCCAAUCACCUGCACAUGGUGGUUUGGUUGCUGAUUGGGGCGGCUGACCGCAGCCACCUCCUAGGCAAGGACCAAGAUAAAAGGGGUGUAGGUGUGGGAUGUGGGUGUGUGUAGGGGAUGUAUAAAGAGAUGUUUGGAAAAUGUGAGUUCCAGUGUAAGUAUUCCUGGGCAUGCUACUUCCUACUUUCCCCAAACAGCCAGCUGAGCUCACGCUAGUUCUUACCCAGGCUUGGUAGUCAGGCCCAAAUGGGCUGCAGGGGAUUCACAUGGAAUUCUGGUGCAAUUUUAUAAAAAUAUCCUGUCACUCUUGUACUUGACUCUUCAGGAAAUAGGGGAUGUUGGGUAAAAGGUGAAGUUGGGCCCCCAGAACACAGCACACUCCUUUUGUGCCAGGGAGGAAGAGCAAACACCCAGGGCCUGGGGAGGAAGCACCUCAGAGGCUAGGCCUUCCUCACAGGGGACCUGGCCCCGGCAGCUCUCCAGCUUAGCUGCCAGUGUCUUCAGCAUAGCCAACUGCUGGGCUAGCCACCCCUUGCUGGAUGGCUCUGCCCAUGGAUAGAUGGCCGUUUCCUUAACCUCCCCCCAAACCAAGACAUUAUGACAAGAGAGCCCCAACACCUCUACCUUUCAUGCAGAACACCUGUCAACACCCUCGAUGGCCACCCACCCACUCCUAAGGCUCAGGUAUCCUGAGGGAAUGAACACCCUCUGAAGAAUGGAAUCAACAGAAGAAGAUGAUGGAUGUUUACACAUAGUCAUUCCCAAAACAGUAUAAUGCCAGUUCUCUCAGUUCAUGCUCACAGCAAUACUUCACGCACCAUCCACCGACUGACACCUGCUUUACAGAUGACAAACAAAAGCUCAGAGAGGUCAAGAAAUGCCCCAAGGUCACACAGUCAAGUGGUGGUGCCCGGUUGCAACCAGGUCAACCAAUGCUCUUCACGUUCCACGCCCCUGGCUUUCCUCAUCUAAGGUGCUAGGAUUCUUUCAUGAUACUGUCAGACCCUAGCCCAUACAUAGCAUUUCCUGCCGCUUGGCCUAUGCCCUGGCUCUGGAACUGGGAGACUUAGAAGGCUGGGAGGAGUGUGGCGCAGCCAGUAGCCUCCCUACCACGUCCUCCCCUUGUGGCGAUCCCAGUUUUGUCAUCUGUGAAGAUGUUCCUACGAGCGGUUAUAAGGAAUGAAUGAACUCAGGAGCAGGAAAAGGCUUUGGGAAAUCAGAGGUUCUGAUGUGAACACUGGUGUGGUCCGAGAUGGGGGAGAGAAUGAAGGCCUUGGUAGAGGACCUGGGAUGGAAUGAAAGCAGAGUGGAAAGCAUCAACGAGACACAGAGCCCAGGCUAGGCCUCCCUCAGGAGCCUCACAUUGUCACCUGGGAUGCUGCCAGCCUUCCUGAAAUCUUAGAUCUUCCUUUGGGUUAAGCAGUGCCUUUUCUAGAGUCUCCUAUUAAAAUGCUCCUUCCCUUUAGAGUCCUGAUCUUGUAGUUUACAUGUAACAAACAAACCUCCCACAUGCCAGGAAGCUUACAUAUAUGAUCCAGUAGAACACUCAUAUCAGGACAUUCACACUAACCGUUUUAGCCCCAUUUUACAGAUAUGAAAAAAUGAGGCCCAGAGGAGUGCAAUAAUUUGCCUGAGUUCUCACGGGAGGUAAGGGACAGAGCCAGGGUUUGCAGUGCAUUGCUUUUGCUUCAGAGUCUGGUUGCUUUGGUGCUCAAUCUCCAAAUCUUGCUUAUGCUGUUUCCUCUUCCUAAAUGCCCUUCACCUAUUCUGCCACUUAAUUGUCAGACUCCCUUCUAUUCAUUUAAAGUAGUGAUCCUUAUGAACAUUUAAUAUCAUUUAAUGUAUUUUUUGUUUUUAGAAGACACAUGCAAGAAAUGGCACGUAGUGAGAAUUUCCUCCUUCCAUCCAGGUCCCAGCCAGCCAGACCCUGUGGGUUACCUGUUUGUUGGGUACCUGUGUAUCCUUUAAUAUGUUCAUUUCUUGGGGCUCCAGCUCACCUGUUCUUUUCUCUAGGACCCAUCCCCUAACAGUUGAAACUCCUCUCAUUUGGCUCAGGUAAACCCUGCCCACUGAGUCCCACAUAGCCCAGACCUCCCUCCCGUUC